UGUUGUUCACGUGUGAUUACUUGUCGAGAACGCGUAUACGAGGCGUAAAAAAGUCAAACAUUUCAAACGUCUAUAAUAAUAACAGCUCAAAAGUUGCCGAAACAUUUUUUAACACCGCAACUAUAGAAAAUGCUAAGCGAUGUAGCGAGAUUAGAAUUAAAUGGCGCGUGAUUUCCAUUUGACGUCCUAAGACCAGUGCCCCACGGCGUCUGGGACUCGUUAUUAAAUCCGUGACACAACGGCGAAGACGAGUGACAACUACUGUCGGUUAUAUUAUGCGUACCACAGAGAAGCAGGUGAAUAGCGACGAAGUCUUAUGUUUGAAAUAGCUGUCGCAGAUCUCCACGAUCUGAGCGCUU